UACGGGGGGAGCGAGCGUUGUCCGGAAUUACUGGGCGUAAAGGGCGUGUAGGUGGUUAGAUAAGUCAGAUGUGAAAGCUUCCGGCUUAACCGGAAAACUGCAUUUGAAACUGUAUAGCUUGAGUGCGAGAGAGGGUAGCGGAAUUCCCAGUGUAGCGGUGAAAUGCGUAGAUAUUGGGAAGAACACCAGUAGCGAAGGCGGCUACCUGGCUCGCAACUGACGCUAAUGCGCGAAAGCGUGGGGAGCAAACAGG
rnacentral:rRNA from 1 species